rnacentral:lncRNA from 1 species
GAGCUAUCAGCUUCCCAGUUUGCACAAUUCAUCAAGAAAUUAUGCGGGGUCACUGGCACAAAUGAUGAGGCAUCUCCUGGAAGCUUAACUUCUUAUCCAUCCCAUCUCUUGGACAGAUGAUGCCAGUUAAUUACUUUGAAUGUGCUGUGGCUCACACCUGUAAUCCCAGCACUUUGGGAGGCCAAGGCGGGUGGAUCACUUGAGGUCAGAAGUUCAAGACCAGCCUGGCCACUUGAACCGAGGAAGAGGUUGCAGUGAGCCAAGGUCAUGCCACUGUACUCCAGCCUGGGCGACAGAG